rnacentral:rRNA from 1 species
GCAGCCGCGGUAAUACGUAGGUGGCGAGCGUUGUCCGGAAUUAUUGGGCGUAAAGAGCAUGUAGGCGGUUUUUUAAGUCCGGAGUGAAAAUGCGGGGCUCAACCCCGUAUGGCUCUGGAUACUGGAAGACUUGAGUGCAGGAGAGGAAAGGGGAAUUCCCAGUGUAGCGGUGAAAUGCGUAGAUAUUGGGAGGAACACCAGUGGCGAAGGCGCCUUUCUGGACUGUGUCUGACGCUGAGAUGCGAAAGCCAGGGUAGCGAACGGGAUUAGAUACCCC